AGAGUUUGAUCCUGGCUCAGAACGAACGCUGGCGGCAUGCUUCAUACAUGCAAGUCGAACGCGUGGCUUCGGCCACGAGUGGCGCACGGGUGAGUAACGCGUGGGAACCUGCCUUCUGGUUCGGAAUAACCACGGGAAACUGUGGCUAAUACCGGAUGAGCCCUACGGGGGAAAGAUUUAUCGCCAGAAGAGGGGCCCGCGUCCGAUUAGGUAGUUGGUGGGGUAACGGCCUACCAAGCCGACGAUCGGUAGCUGGUCUGAGAGGAUGAUCAGCCACACUGGGACUGAGACACGGCCCAGACUCCUACGGGAGGCAGCAGUAAGGAAUAUUGGACAAUGGGCGAAAGCCUGAUCCAGCAAUGCCGCGUGAGUGAUGAAGGCCCUAGGGUUGUAAAGCUCUUUCGGCGGGGACGAUGAUGACGGUACCCGCAGAAGAAGCCCCGGCUAACUUCGUGCCAGCAGCCGCGGUAAUACGAAGGGGGCUAGCGUUGUUCGGAAUUACUGGGCGUAAAGGGCGCGUAGGCGGCGCAAGAAGUCAGGCGUGAAAGCCCCGGGCUCAACCUGGGAAUUGCGUUUGAUACUCUUGUGCUUGAGUUCGGGAGAGGUGAGUGGAAUUCCCAGUGUAGAGGUGAAAUUCGUAGAUAUUGGGAAGAACACCGGUGGCGAAGGCGGCUCACUGGACCGAUACUGACGCUGAGGCGCGAAAGCGUGGGGAGCAAACAGGAUUAGAUACCCUAGUAGUCC
rnacentral:rRNA from 1 species